AACGAACGCUGGCGGCAUGCCUAACACAUGCAAGUCGAACGAGAUCUUCGGGUCUAGUGGCGCACGGGUGCGUAACGCGUGGGAAUCUGCCCUUUGGUUCGGAAUAACAGUUGGAAACGACUGCUAAUACCGGAUGAUGACGAAAGUCCAUAGAUUUAUCGCCAAAGGAUGAGCCCGCGUAGGAUUAGCUAGUUGGUGUGGUAAAGGCGCACCAAGGCGACGAUCCUUAGCUGGUCUGAGAGGAUGAUCAGCCACACUGGGACUGAGACAAGGCCCAGACUCCUACGGGAGGAAGCAGUGGGGAAUAUUGGACAAUGGGCGAAAGCUUGAUCCAGCAAUGCCGCGUGAGUGAUGAAGGCCUUAGGGUUGUAAAGCUCUUUUACCCGGGAUGAUAAUGACAGUACCGUGAGAAUAAGCUCCGGCUAACUCCGUGCCAGCCGCCGCCGUAA
rnacentral:rRNA from 1 species